AGUGGGGUGGAGAAGUCCGGUCAUCUCGCAAGGCUCAUAACCUUGAGAUCGUGGGUUCAAAUCCCACCCCCACGACCA
rnacentral:tRNA from 1 species